rnacentral:rRNA from 25 species
UUAAUGACUCUCGGCAACGGAUAUCUCGGCUCUCGCAUCGAUGAAGAACGUAGCGAAAUGCGAUACUUGGUGUGAAUUGCAGAAUCCCGUGAACCAUCGAGUUUUUGAACGCAAGUUGCGCCCGAAGCCAUUUGGUUGAGGGCACGUCUGCCUGGGCGUCACGU